rnacentral:rRNA from 1 species
UACGUAGGGUGCGAGCGUUAAUCGGAAUUACUGGGCGUAAAGCGUGCGCAGGCGGUGAUGUAAGACCGAUGUGAAAUCCCCGGGCUUAACCUGGGAACUGCAUUGGUGACUGCAUUGCUGGAGUAUGGCAGAGGGGGGUGGAAUUCCACGUGUAGCAGUGAAAUGCGUAGAGAUGUGGAGGAACACCGAUGGCGAAGGCAGCCCCCUGGGCCUGCACUGACGCUCAUGCACGAAAGCGUGGGGAGCAAACAGG